rnacentral:rRNA from 1 species
UACGUAGGGACCAAGCGUUGUUCGGAUUUACUGGGCGUAAAGGGCGCGUAGGCGGCAAAUCAAGUCAGCUGUGAAAUCUCCGAGCUUAACUCGGAACGGUCAGCUGAUACUGUUUUGCUAGAGUGCAGAAGGGGCAAUCGGAAUUCUGGGUGUAGCGGUGAAAUGCGUAGAUAUCAAGAGGAACACCUGAGGUGAAGACGGGUUGCUGGGCUGACACUGACGCUGAGGCGCGAAAGCUAGGGUAGCAAACGGG